CACUCCCAUUGUUACCCCAGACCUGCAACGUUUCCUUCUUUCUCUUUUUCUUCUAAAGGUUGAAGUGCACUCCUUUCCUCCCAAAAAUCUGCAUGCAACCCAAAUGACACCUAUAAAGAGCCAACAAUUGGUUACCUAGCCUAACCUUUUUUCUCUUUCCUUGGUUACUUGCACAGAGAGCUUCUGCAAAUAGAGUUCAAGGUUCUAAUCCACAAGAAGAAUCAACUACUGCUAGAGCAACAUCAACAGCUAGCACAAUUAUGACACUAUCCUCAUGGGCUAUUUCCAGUGUUGAGGAGGUUGCUUCAAUAGGCCUUGACAUUCAUUUUUUUCAACUUUAUGUGUUUAAAGAUAGAAAUGUAGUUGCUUAGCUUGUGAGAAGAGCUGAAAGAGUUGGUUUCAAGGCAAUUGCCUUUACUAUGGACAUUGAUAUUCUUGGUCGUGGGGAGGUUGACAUCAAAAAUAGGUUGGCAACCAUUUGGAAAUUUCAAUUGGAACAACCUUUCCACAAAACUUUACAUGGUUCAUCAUGGUUGAAUUGAUAAAUCUCCCACUUUAAGAUAUUUACUUCUUAGUUUAAAGGUGUGUUUUAUAAAUUUACAUUGCCACCAAACUUGGUUUUGAAGAAUUUUGAAGGAUUGGAUCUUGGAAAGCUAGACAAGGUGUGCGAUUACAUUGCUAUUUUACAUUAUUUGUUUUGAAAUUUUGAAAUAAUUGGAUUUUUUUCAUUAUUGAUCAUAUUAUUGUUGUUACUAUUACUAUUUGUUGUCUGGAAUUAAAUUGCAAACUAGUGACUCUGGUCUUGCCUCUUAUGUUGCUGGACAAAUUGAUCGGUCACUCAACUAGAAGGAUAUCAAAUGGCUUCAAUCAAUCACUUCAUUGCCAAUUUUAGUUAAGGGUGUACUUAGUGCUCAAGAUAGUAAACCUAUCAAAUAGAUGCACUUUGUUUCUUCCUUGUCCAUUUAUCUAUUUAGAAUUGUUUUCUCAGUCUUUAAUCUUAUCCCAUAUCUAAUAAAGUAGCAAGGAUAGCCAUACAAGCUAGAGCUGCUUGAAUCAUUGUUUUCUAAUCAUGGAGCUCAUCAACUUAACUGUGUCCCUGCAACUAUUAUGGCUUUGGAAGAGGUAGUUAAAGUUGCAUAAAGGAAAAAUUCCAGAAUUUUUGCAUGGUGGAAUUCGUCGAGGGACAUAUGUUUUUAAUGCCCUAGCUCUUGAAGCAGCCGGUGUAUUCGCAGAUGAUCUAUAAUGAUCUACCUAGCCCCACAUUCCUCAUUUUGUUACAGAUGGUGAGGCUAGUGUGAGAAAAGUACUUCAAAUGCUUCGUGAUGAAUUUGAACUAACAAUGGUGCUAAGUGGUUGGCAUUCGCUCAAGGUGAUAACUCAUAACCAUGUUGUCAUAGAGUGGGAUCACCCAAGAUUUGCUCCGAAGUUAUAAGAUGACAAGACUCCACCUUAUUCUUCUAUAUUCUAAAAUAGAAAUUUUAGGAUAACCUUUGUUCUUAUUUCAUGCUUCUAUAGAAAACUUUGUUACAGUGAGUUAGGCAUUAGUCAUCCAUUAGUAAUUGCUACUUCUUUAUUUGUUGUAUAGAAUAAGUUUCUACCUAGACUCAUUUCGUUGCAUUUGGGGCUAGGAUUUGGUAAACUCUAGAAACAUGAUUGCAAUAAAAUGUACUUUUUUUUUCUUAGCAAAAGAUUAAG